UUAACAGGGAUAAAACAGAAACUCCCUAUAUGCCAGCCUACAAAUCCAUUGGUUAUCCUUUCCCUUUUUAUUGGUCAGUUUUCUUGCUAAGCCUUUGAAUAUUACAAGCUGUAAGUCAACAAUAGCACUUCAUCCAGAGCCAAAAUACCUCCCAAGGGAACCUAUAGCAACACUGACAGGGUAUCAACCUUUAGGGCCCAAUCCACACAACCUGGAUUAAUUUAGUUAUCCUUCCUCUUACUGAAAUGAUUUAAAUAGUUCUGUCACAUCCUUAUCAACCUGCUACCUUAUCUGACCAGUGUCCUUUCUUCAAGGCCCCAUUCAAGUCUAGUCCCCUUUCUCCUCAGCCCAGCCCUAGGUGACCCAGCCAGGCCUCAUUCUCUCUACAACUCGUUUGGCACAUGCCAUUUUUAGAGAAAGAAGUUGGACUGCCUCCUUCUCCUCUCUAGCUCCAACCAUUUUAGAACCAGAAAUUUUAGCCAUAUCUUUACAGUCUUCAGAAUAGGUUAGAAAGCAAAUAAAGAUAGAAAUGAGGACUUUUCUAAUCAUAAAACAGAAUAUUUGAAAGCACUUUACGUUCCCCAAUUGAUGACAGAGUUGAAGUUGGUUUAAACCACAAGACACUGUGGCCUCUCUUAACAGUGUUACAAGCAUUUUGUUUUAAGCUCUUGCACCAUCUGAUCAUGUUCACACUCCCCGGCACUGCAGUGAGGACACUCCACAUUUAGAAUCUAGAAUCCAGCAUCAUGUCUCCUGUAUAAGCAUUUUCCAAUUUAUUAAUACUACAUUCUAAGGUAAAUAUACAACCCAGAAGAAUUAAAUUUAGAAGGUGCUUGGACCUCCUGAAUCACAGGUAACAAGAAUGGCAAUGGACAUUACUUCAAACUAUUUGUAUUUACUCUCCAAAAUGUUCUGUUGAAACAGGUGACGAAAUGGAAACUCAAGGCACUACCCCAUGAUCUCCCAGACUGAUCACAGCAAAGUAGGAAGAAGAGCCCACAGCUCUGUGCCCUGGUUACUGGCCAGAACAGCCCCAGCAACAAGUCAAAGUCCUCAUGUUUGCAGAGCCCUAGUCACCGUUACUGAUCUUCUCCCGCCAUGGAGUGGCUCAACCUCCUCAGGAGUUCUCAGGCUUUUCUCCCUGAAGUUUGUACGUUGAUGUCAGUUUCAACACUCUUGCAAUCAAAUGUCUGUGCGGGAGGGUAUCACACAACCAAGAAAAUAAUGGAAUCCCAGCCAUGACUUUGAUUCAAAUGGAGAGCUUGCAUGAAGUAAAGCCUAUUUUUUUGUAUGUAAGAAGACAAAAAAUGUGUAACUAAAGUAAAGAUACACUGAUACGUAUGAUACCAGAGAGAAAAAUAAAGGAUUUUUUU